GCCUGGGUGGCUCAGUCAGUUGAGCGCCAGACUUCGGAUCUUGCGGUUCGUGGGUUCGAGCCCCACCUCAGGCU